UAUUGAAUCCCAUCAGUCACAAUAGUGACCGUAAAAAACGUUUUCAGUUAUAAGGCUCUAAAAAUGUUACUGAAUGAUGUAUCAAUGCAUUUCCAGCAAAUAUUGAAAUAAUAAAGGGUUUCAAUGAAAUAUGUGCAGUGUCACAUGUUUAUUGUAGAUUGUCACAUGACCAGAGCUGUUUACUUCCUCGUUGCGCCAUGAGAAGACGAUAGCUGCGUCAAAGCUCCCAAACAAAAGUUUCACUUUGAGUCAAGUUCUGGAUAUGUUGGAUCUAGGUGACUGCCCAGACAAGGCAUGCAACAUUGCAGUUAUCCCUCAGAGAUUGUGAUAGCGGUGGGUCAGAUAUGGACUAUGGGGGGGGGAGACAGGCCAUUUGCCAGCCAGGCUGUUGAAUGUAUAUGCUGAACCUAUGCAAACAGACCAUGACAGGAACAAUGUUAUCAGUGAUGAUGACCUACCCCUCACUACCCCACACUCUCCCCCCUGAGACUGGGUUGGGUCAUGGACCUCAAGGUUGCAAGUUCCUUCGUGACAACCUCUUCACUUCACUUGCACUCCUCAAUGAAAUGACAAAAAGAGGAUAUGGGAGCUCUGGAACGAUGAGGCCAAAUCGUCUGUUUGAUGUCCCAUUCAAGCCACAUAAAGACUUCAUGAAGUUACCUGGGGAACCUCUGAGUUUUUGAGCCAAGGAGACAAGUUGCUGGUCCGUUAGAAAGACAUUAACAUUGUCACAGUGGCAACAAACAUGGAGGAGAAAUACAGUGAGACCUCUGUCAAGAGAUGGAACAAGGAGCGAUGUGCCUUUUGACAAAGUCCUACAACAAAAUGCAUCAACCGAUACAAUGAGCACAUGGGGGGGGGUGUUGUUCUUCACAACCUACAGGUUUCAAUAUUCCAUAUCUCCAUCAGUUCUAAGAAGUGGUGGUGGCCCAUCUUUGCAUGGUCUCUCAACAGUGCACUCGUUAACAGCCAUUUAUUUUACAGAGAUGUUAUGGGAGGGACAAUCGACCUGCUCACCUUCUCAUGGAUAGUGGCACAGUCUCUUAUGCAAAAGUUUGGCACGAGACCACUGAGCCACGGAAGGAGAUCUCUACUGGCUGCCACUGUUGAAGAUCAGGCAAGAUAUGACAAAGCUUCUCACUGGCCAAUCAACACGAUGCACCGGUUCCAGAGAUGUCGUCAUUGUGACAAACGCACUACCUAUGCAUGUGAGAAAUGCAAAGCGCCACUGCACAUUGAGUGCUUCAAGAUAUACCACGGACAGUAGAAAAGGCGUUAAGAGUGAAUGAAAAAGGGCUGAAAAACCCAAUAAAAAAACAAAUGUGAAAAGUCAAUAAAGGGUGAGGAGAAGCAGUACCACGGACUCUAGGAAGAAAAGAAAAGUCAAUGAAAAAGGGAAUCAAUUGAUUCAAGACCUACUGUAUGAAAGUAGGUCUGACUGAUUGUAGUUCAAAAUAGUGAUGCACAAACUAACAUAUAGAUAUACAUGUGUAUAUGUGUGUAUGUACGUAUCUAUGUAUAGGAGACAGAACGUGUCUCCUUCCUGAGCGGUAUGACGGCUGCGUGGUCCCAUGGUGUUUAUACUUGCAUACUGUUGUUUGAACAGAUGAACAUGCUACCUUCAGGCGUUUUUUAUUUUUUUAUUUUUUUACCUUUAUUUAACCAGGCAAGUCAGUUAAGAACACAUUCUUAUUUUCAAUGACGGCCUGGGAACAGUGGGUUAACUGCUAGUUCAGGGGCAGAACAACAGAUUUGUACCUUGUCAGCUCGGGGGUUUGAACUCGCAACCUUCCGGUUACUAGUCCAACGCUCUAACCACUAGGCUACGCUGCCGCCCCGUAUAUAGGCAGCGUAGGUUUGGAAAUUGCUCCCAAGGAUGAACCAGACUUGUGCAGGUCAACAAUUUUUUUUUCUGAGGUCUUGGCUGAUUUAUUUUGAUUGUCCCAUGAUGUAAAGCAGUUGAGUGUAUGUAAACUUCUGACCCACUGGGAAUGUGAUGAAAAAUUAUUCUCUCUACUAUUAUUCUGACAUUUCACGUUUUUAAAAUAAAGUGAUGAUACUAACUGA